AGUCAGAUGUGAAAGCCCAGGGCUCACCCUUGGAACUGCAUUUGAUACUGGCAAACUAGAGUAUGGUAGAGGGAAUGGGGAAUUUCUGGUGUAGCGGUGAAAUGCGUAGAGAUCAGAAGGAACACCAAUGGCGAAGGCAACAUUCUGGACCAAUACUGACACUGAGGGACGAAAGCGUGGGGAUCAAACAGGAUUAGAUACCCUGGUAGUCCACGCUGUAAACGAUGAGUACUAGCUGUUGGAUUCGGUGUAAAGGAUCUAGUGGCGUAGCUAACGCGUUAAGUACUCCGCCUGGGGACUACGGCCGCAAGGCUAAAACUCAAAGGAAUUGACGGGGACCCGCACAAGCGGUGGAGCAUGUGGUUUAAUUCGAUGCAACGCGAAGAACCUUACCUGGUCUUGACAUCCUGCGAACUUUCUAGAGAUAGAUUGGUGCCUUCGGGAACGCAGUGACAGGUGCUGCACGGCUGUCGUCAGCUCGUGUUGUGAAAUGUUGGGUUAAGUCCCGCAACGAGCGCAACCCCUAUCGAUAGUUACCAUCAUUAAGUUGGGUACUCUAUUGAGACUGCCGCUGACAAGGCGGAGGAAGGUGGGGACGACGUCAAGUCAUCAUGGCCCUUACGACCAGGGCUACACACGUGCUACAAUGGGUAUUACAGAGGGCAGCGAAGUAGCGAUAUGGAGCGAAACUCAGAAAGGUACUCUUAGUCCGGAUUGCAGUCUGCAACUCGACUGCAUGAAGUCGGAAUCGCUAGUAAUCGCAGGUCAGAAUACUGCGGUGAAUACGUUCCCGGGUCUUGUACACACCGCCCGUCACACCAUGGGAGUGGGC
rnacentral:rRNA from 1 species